rnacentral:rRNA from 1 species
AAAGUCAAAACACAACUCUAUGAGGUGGAGGACUUGGCUUGAGACGCCGAUGAAGGACGUGGCUAACUGCGAAAAGCCUUGGCGAUCCGUAUGCAGGAAUUGAACCGAGGAUCUCCGAAUCGGACUUCCGUCUAAAAACCGAAAGGUUAGGGAACCCAGGGAAUUGAAACGUCUUAGUACCUGGAGGAAAAGAAAUCAAUUGAGAUGCGGGUAGUAAGAGCGACUGAACUCCGCAAACGGCAAACCGAAUCAGGCGAUGAAAGUCGUCUGGGAUGUGGGGUUUUGGACCUUCUUUUAGGCCUCGCUCACAAACGUGAAGUGCGCUGGAACGCGCUGGGAAACAGGGUGACACCCCCGUAGCGAAAAAUGAGCAAGCCGUGAAGGUAUCCAGAGUACUGCUCCCCGGAAACGGAGCAGGAAAUUGGGAGUCAUCAACUUCCAACCGUAAAUACGUCUCAAGACCGAUAGCGUACAAGUACCGUGAGGGAACGUUGAAAAGAACCCUUGACAGGGUGUUAAAAGAGCCUGAAACCUCAUAGACAUCGAACGGCACGGACCUACGGGUUUGUGUCGUACGUUUGGAAUAACGUGCCAGGGAGUGCAUUUGAGUGGCAAGGCUAACUGCAACAACAGGAAGCCGAAGCGAAAGCGACAAGCUCGCAAGCAAUGAGGAGCGCGGUGUGAAAGCGCCGGGAGUCACUUGGAUGCGACCCGAAACCAGUCGAUCUAAUCCAGGGCAUGGUGAAGUGAGGGUAAAACCUUGUGGAAGCCAGAAGAGGUGCUGUGUGCAAGCGUUCUUCUGACUUUGGAUUAGGGGUGAAAAGCCAAUCGAGACUGGUGAUAGCUGGUUCCUGCCAAAGUAGGCGUAAGUCUAGCCUCGAGCGAGACAGAUGAGCUCGUAGAGCGACGGAUUGGGGAUUGAGGCAUCGAAAGGUGUCGGUCCCUUGUCCAACUCCGAAGAACUCAUCGUCGUAGACCUCGGGAGACGGGGUAUAUGCGUAAGGUGUAUAUCCGAAAGGGGAACAACCCUGACUAUGGUUAAGGUCCCAAAGUAAUGAUUAAGUGUGAACGGGCAAAGGGCAUUUGCGCCCAGAGACAGCGGGGAGGUAGGCUUAGAAGCAGCCACCCUUUAAAAAGUGCGUAACAGCUUACCCGUCAAGAGCGCGAGUCCCUAAAAUGGACGGGGCUAAAUCAUUCACCGAUACCAUAGACGACCCAAAAGGUCGUGGUAGGCAGGCGUAUAGCUUGGACAGAACUUUCUUCGAAAGGAGAGAGGGACCGAGCAUUAAUGAAAAUCCUGGCGGUAGUAGGAUCUUAGACGUGUGAGAAUCACGUCCACUGUAAGGGCAAGGGUUCCUUGGCAAUGUCGAUCAGCCAAGGGUAAGUCAGUCCUAACUGUACACCCAACUGGUGUGAGUGAGGAAAGGGCAUCCGGUUAAUACUCCGGAACUAUAUAGGUAUGCGUGGCAACACAAGCCUUGCUUCAGACGCUUUCGGCUAAGCGGGCGCAGACUGUCGUUUGCGCUAACAUGGAUACAUCCAGGGAGUAUCGUCACGAUGAGAACUGGAUGAAACCAUGGAAUGGUUUCUCUUUGAGGAAUCCCGCCAAUGCCAAGAGCCCAUGAAAAUGGAACAAGGAAAAAUCCUGUAUAACUGUACCCAGAACCAGCACUGGUGCCCCUAGGUGAGAAGCCUAAAGUGUGAAGGACUAAUGUAGUUGAGGGAACUCGGCAUAUUGGCCCCGUGACUUCGGUCUAAGGGGUCCCUGCAAUCGUGCUCUUAUGAGUGGCGAUCGCAGGGGUCACUAACUCGGGGGAUCCGACUGUUUACCAAAAACACAACUGGCUGCUAAGCUGUAAAGCCUUGUAUAGCCGGUGACGUCUGCCCAGUGAUGGUAUCCGAAAACUCAUUUCAAUGGGUCUAAGGGCCAUUUAACGGCGGGAGUAACUAUAACUCUCUUAAGGUAGCGUAAUGCCUUGUCAUUUGAUUGGUGACGUGCAUGAAGGGCGUAACGAGAUCCCCACUGUCCCCAACUGCAAGCCUCCGAACACUUCCUUCUGGUGGGAAGACCAGAGAUCUCCAGUGGGAAGCGAAGACCCCGUGAAACUUUACUGUAGCUUGUAGCUGUGACGCGAGUGGCAUUGUAUAGCGUAUGUGGUAGCUGUUUGAGGAGCAAGUCGUCAGGUUUGCUCUGAGGCACCGAUGUAACACCACACCCUGCUGCUUGCGUCACUCACUUCGAAAGAAGAACACCUACUGGCGGACAGUUCGGCUGGGGUGGCACGCCGAUGAAAAGAUAUCAUUGGCGCCCUAAGGUCGGCUCAGUCCGGUCAGAAAUCGGACGUAGAGUGCAAGGGCAAAAGCCGGCCUGACUGGAUCCCUGAUAAGACCGGAUCCAGAGGCGAAAGCCAGGCCUAGCGAACCCCCGUGUCCUCCUUGAUGGGGGCCGGGUAUGACCGAAAAGUUACUCCGGGGGUAACAGAGUCGUCGCGCCCGAGAGUUCGCAUCGACGGCGCGGAUUGCUACAUCGACGUCGGCUCUUCCUAUCCUGGCCGUGCAGAAGCGGCCAAGGGUGAAGGGGUUCACUUGUUAAAAGGGAUCGUUAGCUGGGUUCACAACGCUGUGAGGCAGUUGGUUUGAUAUCUACUGGAGAUGUGCCAUAGUACGAGAGGAACUGGCAUUCGUCGCCACUGGUAUACCGGUUGUCCGAUAGGGCAUCACGCCGGGCAGCUACGCGAUAGACGGUAAGUUCUGAAAGCAUCUAAGAAUGAAACGUUCCUCGAAAAGACCCUUCUUCGGGCAUGGCUAAAAGAGCCGUUUGAUGGAGCUGGUGUGUAAGCGCGAAGGUAACGACGCGUUCAGCAUGCAGCCCCCAACGCCCAUACUUUUGAGUUC